CCAAAGGCUCUUUUAAGAGCCACCACUUCCUCUGCUGAGCAAACAU
rfam:Tetraodon nigroviridis chromosome undetermined SCAF14565, whole genome shotgun sequence.